rnacentral:rRNA from 1 species
AGCGAACGCUGGCGGCAGGCUUAACACAUGCAAGUCGAGCGCCCCGCAAGGGGAGCGGCAGACGGGUGAGUAACACGUGGGAACGUGCCUUUUGGUUCGGAACAACUGAGGGAAACUUCAGCUAAUACCGGAUAAGCCCUUACGGGGAAAGAUUUAUCGCCAAAAGAUCGGCCCCGCGUCUGAUUAGCUAGUUGGUGAGGUAAUGGCUCACCAAGGCUACGAUCAGUAGCUGCUGAGAGGAUGAUCAGCCACCAUUGGGACUGAGACACGGCCCAAACUCCUACGGGAGGCAGCAGU